AUUGAACGCUGGCGGCAUGCUUUACACAUGCAAGUCGAACGGCAGCGCGGGCUUCGGCCUGGCGGCGAGUGGCGAACGGGUGAGUAAUGCAUCGGAACGUGCCCAGUAGUGGGGGAUAGCCCGGCGAAAGCCGGAUUAAUACCGCAUACGACCUGAGGGUGAAAGCGGGGGACCGAAAGGCCUCGCGCUAUUGGAGCGGCCGAUGUCGGAUUAGCUAGUUGGUGGGGUAAAGGCUUACCAAGGCGACGAUCCGUAGCUGGUCUGAGAGGACGACCAGCCACACUGGGACUGAGACACGGCCCAGACUCCUACGGGAGGCAGCAGUGGGGAAUUUUGGACAAAGGGGGCAACCCUGAUCCAGCCAUGCCGCGUGCGAGAAGAAGGCCUUCGGGUUGUAAACCGCUUUUGUUCGGGAAGAAAUCCUCUGGGCUAAUACCCCGGGGGGAUGACGGUACCGGAAGAAUAAGCACCGGCUAACUACGUG
rnacentral:rRNA from 1 species